GCCACUACAUACGUUGGCUCAGUAGUUAGAGCGUAGGUCUCGUAACCGAAAGGUUGCGGGAUCGAAUCCCGCUAGAGGCU
rnacentral:tRNA from 1 species